CCUACGGGUGGCUGCAGUCGAGAAUCUUCCGCAAUGCACGAAAGUGUGACGGAGCGACGCCGCGUGAUUGAUGAAGUCCUUCGGGACGUAAAGAUCUUUUAUGAGGGAAGAAGUUAUUGACGGUACCUCAUGAAUAAGGGGCUGCUAAUCUCGUGCCAGCAGCAGCGGUAAUACGAGAGCCCCGAGCAUUAUCCGGAAUUAUUGGGCGUAAAGGGUGCGUAGGUGGUUGUAUUAGUCUUGUGUGAAAGCCUGUCGCCUUACGACAGAUCCGCACAGGAAACGGUACGACUACAGAGGGUGUAAGAGGUGUACGGAACUCAUGGUGUAGGGGUGAAAUCCGUUGAUAUCAUGGGGAACACCAAAAGCGAAGGCAGUACACUGGUGCAUACCUGACACUGAAGCACGAAAGCGUGGGUAGCGAAUGGGAUUAGAUACCCGAGUAGUC
rnacentral:rRNA from 1 species